GGAUUGCCUCAGUAACGGCGAGUGAAGCGGCAAUAGCUCAAAUUUGAAAUCUGGCUCCUUCGGGGUCCGAGUUGUAAUUUGUAGAGGAUGCUUCGGCUUCGGCCCCGGUCUAAGUUCCUUGGAACAGGACGUCACAGAGGGUGAGAAUCCCGUAUGUGGUCGGGGCCCCCGCCAUGUGAAGCUCCUUCGACGAGUCGAGUUGUUUGGGAAUGCAGCUCUAAAUGGGAGGUAAAUUUCUUCUAAAGCUAAAUAUUGGCCAGAGACCGAUAGCGCACAAGUAGAGUGAUCGAAAGAUGAAAAGCACUUUGGAAAGAGAGUUAAAAAGUACGUGAAAUUGUUAAAAGGGAAGCGCUUGCAAUCAGACUUGCCCGCGGUUGCUCAGCCGGUCUCUUGACCGGUGCACUCUUCCGCGGUCAGGCCAGCAUCAGUUCGGGCGGUCGGAUAAAGGCCUUGGGAAUGUGGCUCUCUUCGGGGAGUGUUAUAGCCCUUGGUGCAAUGCGGCCAGCCUGGACUGAGGUCCGCGCUUCGGCUAGGAUGCUGGCGUAAUGGUUGUAAGCGGCCCGUCUUGAAACACGGACCGAGGAGUCUAACAUCUAUGCGAGUGUUUGGGUGUCAAACCCGUACGCGAAAUGAAAGUGAACGGAGGUGGGAACCUUAGGGUGCACCAUCGACCGAUCCUGAUGUCUUCGGAUGGAUUUGAGUAUGAGCAUAGCUGUUGGGACCCGAAAGAUGGUGAACUAUGCCUGAAUAGGGUGAAGCCAGAGGAAACUCUGGUGGAGGCUCGCAGCGGUUCUGACGUGCAAAUCGAUCGUCAAAUUUGGGUAUAGGGGCGAAAGACUAAUCGAACCAUUGGCGUUGCGUGAUGCGAUGUCCAUAUCGCAUCAUUCUUAUUUUUUCCGAGUGUGGAUGCGGCGGCGGUUUAUUAUUAUCCGCCGUGUCUGCACUUGGGGCUGCUAGGUGGUUAAGAGGCUGCUAAAAGGGCAAGCCUAGUCCCUCUAUUCGGGGCGACAUUGUCAAAUUGCGGGGACUUCCUGAGAGCUCGAACUACCGCGGCCCGCCGAAAGGUUGGGUGCAGCACCGGGGUAAUGACCUAGGGGAUGGUAAAAACGUUCGAGAUUGGAUAAUCCGCAGCCAAGUCCUACGUUUCCGAAGGAAAUACGGAUGCAGUUCACAGACUAAAUGGCGAUGGGUUCGGCCGCUAAACAGGCGGUCGGGCUUAAGAUAUAGUCGAUCCCCCACGGAAACGUGGGCGGUAGGAAGAAGCUGGUAAGCAGAAUGGGCGCUCCCACGGGGGCGAGCCUGCCAGCCCGAGCCCUACCGGGAAGAAGCGGGGAUGA
rnacentral:rRNA from 1 species